AUGUCGGCGGUGUGGCGCCAAUUGGACUCUCUGGGAGCUGAUGUUUGUCGCAGAUGUCAGUGUUGUGUGCGGCAACAAGCUAAGCUGGAGGUUCGUUGCCUCUACGACUUCCUCACUCGCCUCCGGCCGGAGUUCGAGCAGAGUCGUGCUCAGCUAUUGGCACGCCAUCCUCGACUCUCUACUCUGGAGGCCCUUGCUGAGGUGUCACCACCCCUUUUGCUUCAGCUGCCACCUCCACCACAUCCUUCGCUCAAUGGCAUCAUCGAUUGGGUCACAUUUGUGGCUCCCGCUUGUCUUCUUUGGUUAGGAGUGGUGUUCUAG
rnacentral:rRNA from 1 species